rfam:Rattus norvegicus chromosome 2, whole genome shotgun sequence.
GGGGAUUUGGCUCAGUGGUAGAGCGCUUACCUAGGAAGCGCAAGGUCCUGGGUUCGGUUCCCAGCCCCG